AUUGAACGCUGGCGGCAUGCCUAACACAUGCAAGUCGAGCGAGCGGCGGACGGGUGAGUAAUGUAUGGGGACUGCCCGAUAGAGGGGGAUAACUACUGGAAACGGUAGCUAAUACCGCAUCCUAUCGGAUAACCCAUAUGGGAUUAGCUAGUAGGUGAGGUACUGGCUCACCUAGGCGACGAUCCCUAGCUGGUCUGAGAGGAUGAUCAGCCACACUGGGACGGAGAAACGGCCCAGACUCCUACGGAGGCAGCAGUGGGGAAUAUUGGACAAUGGGGGAAAGCCUGAUGCAGCCAUGCCGCGUGUGUGAAGAAGGCCCUCGGGUUGUAAAGCACUGUCAGUCGGGAGGCGUUACCGACAGAAGAAGCACCGGCUAACUCCGUGCCAGCAGCCGCGGUAAUUC
rnacentral:rRNA from 1 species